rnacentral:rRNA from 1 species
GACGAACGCUGGCGGCGUGCUUAACACAUGCAAGUCGAACGGAAAGGCCCUGCUUUUGUGGGGUGCUCGAGUGGCGAACGGGUGAGUAACACGUGAGUAACCUGCCCUUUACUUUGGGAUAACUUCAGGAAACUGGGGCUAAUACCGGAUAGGAGCUCCUGCUGCAUGGUGGGGGUGGGAAAGUUUGGGCGGUUGGGGAUGGACGCGCGGCUUAUCAGCUUGUUGGUGGGGUAGUGGCUUACCAAGGCUUUGACGGGUAGCCGGCCUGAGAGGGUGACCGGCCACAUUGGGACUGAGAUACGGCCCAGACUCCUACGGGAGGCAGCAGUGGGGAAUAUUGCACAAUGGGCGGAAGCCUGAUGCAGCAACGCCGCGUGCGGGAUGACGGCCUUCGGGUUGUAAACCGCUUUCGCCUGUGACGAAGCGUGAGUGACGGUAAUGGGUAAAGAAGCACCGGCUAACUACGUG